UAGCAGCCGCGGUAAUACGUAGGUGGCAAGCGUUGUCCGGAAUUAUUGGGCGUAAAGGGCUCGCAGGCGGUUUCUUAAGUCUGAUGUGAAAGCCCCCGGCUCAACCGGGGAGGGUCAUUGGAAACUGGGAAACUUGAGUGCAGAAGAGGAGAGUGGAAUUCCACGUGUAGCGGUGAAAUGCGUAGAGAUGUGGAGGAACACCAGUGGCGAAGGCGACUCUCUGGUCUGUAACUGACGCUGAGGAGCGAAAGCGUGGGGAGCGAACAGGAUUAGAUACCCCGGUAGUCCCUGUCUCUUAUAC
rnacentral:rRNA from 1 species